rnacentral:rRNA from 1 species
GGAUGGGAUGGCGGAAACCCUGACCCAGCGACGCCGCGUGAGGGAAGAAGGCCCUUGGGUCGUAAACUUCUUUUGUACGGGAAGAAUGAGAUGACGGUACCGUACGAAUAAGUCCCGGCUAACUACGUGCCAGCAGCCGCGGUAAUACGUAGGGGACGAGCGUUGUCCGGAAUUACUGGGCGUAAAGGGCGCGCAGGCUGCGCGUCGAGUCGGCUGCUAAAGAACCGGGCUCAACCCGGUGAUGCGGUCG